CGAUGCUGUCAGGUCUCUGCGUGGCUGUGCCAAUCGCUGCUGGAGCACAGCAAAUCAGUGACAGCCACAGACACCACGAUGGCUGGAGGGCUGAAGGGAGCAGCUGGACAGCUCGAUUCUCUUGCCCAAAGCGUGGCUUGUGCUGGCAACAAUUUGCAGCUCUGGGAAACGACAGGCAGCUGCCUGUCAUCGGACAGAGCCCACGCAAACAGCACGGGGAGACAGACCUGCAAGUAAUGCCCUCCCAAAUGACACAGCUAGGGAAUUAGUGUGGACCCUCGAUGUACGCACGUGUUACUUUUGAGAUGCAUCUGGGGAGGAAAGACGAGAUUGUCACUUGUGUCAGACCAAAAUAGGAUGGAUUUCAUCACAUCAUUAUAAAGUAGAAAACCCAUGAGCUGGGAUCUGGGCAGAACUGGGCUUGCUGGGGACACGGGAUUUGCAUUAGAGCAGUUCAGUGCAAAGCAAACAAGAACGCUCCCUGACGUGUACCAGAGAAGCUCCUUUGUGUUCCAAAGCCAAUACAUUCUGAGGUGUUUUCUUAACAAAAGGGAUCCUUCUGGAAGCGCAGGGAGCUGUGCACAGAAAAGCCCUGCACAUCAAUCAGGCAGGAGCUGCUGCGGACAGCUGAAACACGCAAGAAAUGCAAAAGGCUGCACGGCUGCAAGCCCCACAUCUUCCUCCUCCUUCAUGGCAUCAACCAGAGUGCAGCGCACCGCAGAGCAGCACCAACCUGCCCAGCCCACACUGAGCCCACUCUCCCGUUUCACUGCUCCAUCUCCAUGUGCAACGCAGAGAGCAACCCAGCAAAAGGACAGGAACGCACGUUUUCCAGCAGAACUAAUGCCAUCAUUAGGCGAUUCGCUAAUACGCCGAGGGAUGAGGGCGUUUCAACUUACACCGGCGACACGCCAGACAAUGAAAACGACAGACUGAGAGGAGAGGAAACCCAGCCCUGCAAAGCGUGGACGUGUCCUCCACCUCCCUCUGCUCAACCGUGAUAAAAAAUGCCACCUCCUCCCUCCUCAGUGUGCCAGACCCACUCUGCUGGGCAGCCUGUGCCCUGCCACAGCUGCCUCAGGCCAGCAGCGAGGUCUGUAUGCAUGCAACAUGACAGCAUCCUCUCUCCUUCUACACAGCAAAGCUCCAUGCUCAUGUUCUUGUGCUGUCCUUUUUGCAAGUGGUUUUAUUUUAAAACUGGAACUCGAGUUCUCCAUUUGUUUAACAAGUCCCCUUUUCUCCUCUUUUUUUUUUUUUAAAUAAAAUUAAUUUAUUCUACAGAACAGUAAACUCUUCCAGACUCUUCCCUAUUUACAAAUGAACAUGUUUGUUUGCAGACUGCUGCUCCCCCCCACCCCACUCCUAUCCCGUGACGCAGAUGAUGACAAAUCAGCCAACAUGUGAAGGUCUCUAAGGCAGUGCUCCCAUCCACCGCCACCUGGGGACUGUGGGGAGAACAAGAGCAGUGACAUCUGCGCCACAUCUGGAGGUCCCCACUCAAUCACUGUGUAUGUGAAGGGAGUGUGUGUUAAACCCAGCGACAUAGAGCAUCUAGCUUCUCCCUGCGUGAGCAAGGAGAAAUACC
rnacentral:lncRNA from 1 species